rnacentral:lncRNA from 10 species
CUGAAUUGAGAAUAACUCUUUGUUCUUAAAAGACUCUACAGUGCACCAAGAACAAGGAAACAUUUUGGAAAUAACAAUUCUGCGAUGCCUCCCAGGAAUAGAUGAUAAUCCUAAAAGCAUAUUUCCAUUUCUAACUCCAAGGGCACUUUAAUAAUGGAGGGCAUGGUAUGUGACAGAGCUCCCUCCUGGUGGUUUUUAAAGAUGCUGGAAAGAGUGGUGGAGACAUGGAGGCCUUAGAAGAUGCCCUUGUAGUGUUGUCUUCAGCUUUCCUGGGGACUGUUGGAAUCCGCUGCAGAGAUGACUGCCAUGCCAUGAAGACACUCAAGCAGCCCUAUGAAAAGGUCCACUUGGGGAGGAACUGAGACCUCUUGCCAACAACCAUGUGAGUAACCCGUCUUGGAAGACGAUCCACCAACCCCAGUCAAGGCUUCAGAUGACUGUCACUCCAGCCAACAUCUUGACUACGACCUCAUGAGAGACUCUGUGCCAGAACCACCCAGCUAAGCUGCUCCUGAAUUCCUGACCCCCAGAAACUGAGAUAAUAAAUGUUUAUUAUUUUGAGCCACAAUAUUUUUGGGUAAUUUGUUGGAAGGCAAUAGAUAACUAAUACAGGCUCUCAUAAUGUCAUUUAUUUGGGUCCAGUCAGCAUGCUUUAGGAUCUGGGAGUUUUUUUCCUUCAUCCAUAAUCUAACAGCAAUAUAAGGAAUACAAGAAAAAGAAACUAAAGAGACUUCCCUGGAUUCUCCUGGUAUUGGUGGAUGUAACAUUUGACUCUUUACUUCUUCCCUGCUGAGUCUGAAGGGCUUUUGCUUGAAGUAAUUUGCCAUUUUGGAAGAGAAGCACUAUUUGGCUAGUGUGUGUUUUAGUGUCAGAAAGUCCCUUAGGAAAUGAAUAAACCCAGAGUCUCCAACUCACUUAAUAAAGCAUUGCAUUUAAUCCUGCAACAAUCCUGUGAUGUAGGCACACUUGCCUGAUUUUAAGGCUGAGGGAAUUGAAGUAUUAUGUGUCAGGGAUACACACAAAUGUGGGGGAAUAUGAAAGGUCUUGGAGGCUGUCUUCAUAAAUAUCCAGUUACUUCUGCGUCAUGGAAGAGAGGAAAAAAGAAAGGCAUUAAGAAG